AUCCUUUGGCUUUUCUUAUGUACCAUAACUGUUUUUAUGCCAUUGUGUGAGAUUUUCCUCCCUCAAACCUUCUUACACUGUGGGCACAUCACCAGUCUGAGG
ensembl:snoRNA